rnacentral:rRNA from 1 species
GACGAACGCUGGCGGCGUGCUUAACACAUGCAAGUCGAACGGAAAGGCCCUGCUUUUGUGGGGUGCUCGAGUGGCGAACGGGUGAGUAACACGUGAGUAACCUGCCCUUGACUUUGGGAUAACUUCAGGAAACUGGGGCUAAUACCGGAUAGGAGCUCCUGCUGCAUGGUGGGGGUUGGAAAGUUUCGGCGGUUGGGGAUGGACUCGCGGCUUAUCAGCUUGUUGGUGGGGUAGUGGCUUACCAAGGCUUUGACGGGUAGCCGGCCUGAGAGGGUGACCGGCCACAUUGGGACUGAGAGACGGACCAGACUCCUACGGGAGGCAGCAGUGGGGAAUAUUGCACAGUGGGCGGAAGCCUGAUGCAGCAACGCCGCGUGCGGGAUGACGGCCUUCGGGUUGUAAACCGCUUUCGCCUGUGACGAAGCGUGCGUGACGGUAAUGGGUAAAGAAGCACCGGCUAACUACGUG